CCUGCCCACUGAAAUUUUUGAAUGGCCGCAGUAAUUUGACUGUGCAAAGGUAGCAUAAUCAUUAGUUUUUUAAUUAAAAGCUUGUAUGAAUGGUUGGACGAGGUAAAUUCUGUCUUUAUUUAAAUAAUAUUAGAAUUUAAUUUUUAAGUUAAAAAGCUUAAAUAAAUAUAAAAGACGAGAAGACCCUAUAGAUCUUUAUAUUAUUAUUUUAUAAUUUUAAUAAAGAAUUUUUAAUUUUUUAUAUUUUAUAAUAUUUUAUUGGGGUAAUAAAAAGAUUUAAUAAAUUCUUUUUUAUAUUUUACAUUAAUUUAUGAAUAUAUGAUCCAAAAUUUUUGAUUAUAAGAUUAAGUUACCUUAGGGAUAACAGCGUAAUUUUUUUAGAGAGUUCAUAUCGAUAAAAAAGUUUGCGACCUCGAUGUUGGAUUAAAAAUUGUUUUAGGCGCAGAAGUUUAAAAAUUUGGUCUGUUCGACCAUUAAAUUUUUACAUGAUCUGAGUUCAGACCGGUGUAAGCCAGGUCGGUUUCUAUCUUUAUAAUUUUAUAAUAUUUUAGUACGAAAGGACCAAAUAUUUAAUAUAUUAAUAUUUUUAUUUUUGAAUAUUAUU
rnacentral:rRNA from 1 species